CUCGUCUUUUCCACGAUGUACACUCCCCCGAUCUACGUCGUCCCGAGUUAUGAAUUAUGCUGUUCACUCGUACUUGUAUGUCGUUCGGCGUAGUCUCAAGUACUGGCAGCGAAUUUCGGAACGUAUCGUCAUUUCCACUCUUCUUACCCACUCCGCAUCAACACUCGCUCGACUUAGGUCGUUUUGACUACAUCGUCUAUCGCGAAACCUAUUUCGACGUAACUUUGGGGUAUGACUGUAGCGCAAUCAGAAUUGCGCGAUAGUUGGCACAUGGAGAUGAGUGAAGAAACAGAUGAAUUAAUUUUGGAGACCUUUUCGAGAUCGGUAUAGCCGCUUUGAAUUAUUUUACGAUCUAUUAUCUGCAGCAAUAUGUCCGUGUCUCCGAGGUGGAGAUAUAGCGGAAAUUUAUAAAUUGUCAAUUGCAAAAUUUGAGGACCGAGCUCCCAAUAGGGCAUUCAUAUAUGGAAGCUAAUAAUACUAAAAAAGAUAAUUAUUAACAUUGAAGUAUUUAACGUUAAAGUUUUAACGUGACCUAAUAAAAGAUUGUUAUAUUGAAAGCUGAUAUUAACUACCAUGGAAUAGAAAUGGAAGAUAUUGUGGAAAUUUGAUGUCAGAGCUGCUUUAUGGUCGUUAAACUCUGUAGUAAACAGUAUACAAUU